AUGGCACACGACUACUAUAGAAAAGCACCUUGUGGUGCAAAAAUAGAAAACUUGAAGCUGGACAACUCAAUUGAGGAUGGAUGGCACAGAUUCAACUGGUGGGAUGUGUACACACAAAUCCAUGCUUCUGUGCAAAAAGGACCCUCGUUUCUACCUUAUUUGCUUCUGAAUGUGCCAUCAAACGACAGCCACCCCUCUCUUCCAUCUCCCCUGUUGCUUGCCGACGGCGGCGGCGCUUUAGAUCCGGUGGCAAGCGCCUCCCUUCCCCUUCCCAGCUACUCUUACUCAAGGCCACCUGACUCCUCCUGGCCGCCGUCACGGCGGUGA
rnacentral:rRNA from 1 species